rnacentral:rRNA from 1 species
UACAGAGGUGGCAAGCGUUGUUCGGAAUUACUGGGCGUAAAGGGCGCGUAGGCGGUUCGUUAAGUCCUGUGUGAAAUCCCCCGGCUCAACUGGGGAACUGCACAGGAAACUAGCGGGCUUGAGGACUGGAGAGGAGACUGGAAUUUACGGUGUAGAGGUGAAAUUCGUAGAUAUUCGCAAGAACACCAGUGGCGAAGGCGGCUCACUGGCCCGAUACUGACGCUGAGGCACGAAAGCGUGGGGAGCAAACAGG